UGUAAACGGACCAAACUUCAGUCAGGAGAACAACUGAGAUAAUCCAUCCACAAUACCAGGAACGCUAGCUUAAGUGUUUUGGCAACACUAACACAAGCGGACUGUGGUACAGAACGCUGCUGCUCGCAUGCUGACCGCUUCCAAAAAGAGAGACCACAUCACUCCGGUCCUCUGCUCUCUCCACUGGCUCCCAGUUGCUUUUAGGAUUGAUUUUAACGGUACUGCACCUCCUUACAUGGCAGAGCUUCUUAGCAUUUACUGCCCCAGGAGAUCUUUGAGGUCAGCAGACUUGAUGCUUUUAGAUGUUCCCAGGUACAGAUUAAAGACUAGGGGAGAGAGGGCUUUUGCUGUGGCUGCACCCAGACUGUGAAACAGUUUACCCCCCCCACAUCAGCCUAGGAACUUUUAAAACUGCUCUUAAAACUCACCUCUUUUCAUUGGCUUUUAGCAAGGUUUAACCUAUUGUUUUAAUUUCUUGUUUUAUCAGUGAGGUAUUUUAUGUACCUGUGUUUUAUAGUAUUUUAUAUUUGUAUUUUAUUGUACAGCACUUUGGUCAGCCUUGGUUGUUUUUAAAUGUGCUUUAUAAAUAAACUUGACUUGACUUGACAAGCGAGGAGAGAAUUUCAUUCUACAGUGCAGGUGCACAACCUGGAUUCAGGUGCAUUACUACAGUGAACAUGUCUUAACCCGCUUUAACUCUAGACUUUUACAUCUUUCAGACGAGUGCACAGGGUUUACUCUUAAGUAUUUUGAGACAAAAAACAACUAUGACUAAAAAAAUGGCAUGAAAUAAUUAAUAAGCACAUUUAAACAAUUAUUAAACAUUAUUUAUUUUAGCUAGCUCACUUGUUCAAACCUACUGAAAAUUCAGUGCCUGGACCUGGAUAUUUUUAUGCUACUUUCUAGUCAUAAUCUGUCCAUUUCCCUUUUUUCCAUCCGUCCGUUCUCUUUUGCUUAUGCUUGUCAGGAUCGUGUGUGUGGGGAGGGCGGGGGCUAUCCCAGCUACCACAGGGUACACCCUGGACAGGUCGCCAGUCUCUCACAGGGCUAAAACAUAGAGACAGACUCACAUUCACACCUAUGGACAAUAUAGAAUUACCAAUUAACCUAACCACACUAAGUGCACACUAAGAACCCACGCAAACAGGGGGGAGAACGUGUAAACUCCACAGACCCUGGCCAGGUGUGAGGCAACAGUGCUAAUCACCGCGCCACCAUGCUGCCCCUAUUUUAUUAUUAUUCCCUUCCUUUAUUACCACUGGUAUGAUCAGAAGUUCAAGUUUGCCUUGUUUUAAUGUCUGCAUGAAAAUCUACUUGUCUGGUUGCAGACUCUACUGGAAACACGGCAUUCCCUACUUUAGGGAAUGGUAACUAUGUGAACUGACAUGUAAUUUCACAGUUAGCAAGCUAUGGGAAGACAUUCAAAUGCCUACCGUUUCAUAUAGCAAUAAAUAAAACUACAUCGCAUUUGUGGCUUGACUCCACAACCCAACAAACUGUCAAAUUUUGCUAUUUGAUGCAGAGAUUAAGUGAAGCGCACCUGUGUUAUGAGAAGAAGAGGCAAACUGGACUGGACAGUGCAAGCAGCGUCCACGCAUUCCAGCUCGAUAAGGAAAUCUGGGCACCAUGGUGAGCUCGGUUCAUGGAUGCAGACCUUCCAAGCAGAACAUGUGAGAAACAUCACAAGGCAGACUGCUUCGUUCACAGGGAAGGGCCAUUUACUUGUCAACGGGGUCUGAAUUGUGGGACGGGUGGAAUCGAAACACACCGACCAUAUGUGGCUCCACACUGCUACCCUUUCCAUAUGGGAAUAUUUACAUGUCUCCUUUGUUGUACAAAGAUCAAAGCAGAGGAAAUUCAUUUGAGUUGAUUUUAUGACACAUUUUAGCAAAUUUACAGGGGGCAACUUUAUAUACCCUGUAAAAGCUGUUCCACAGCAUGGAAGAUCACCCCAUUAAGUCUUAAUACAACGGAAAUUUGAUGUUAAACUUGAGCUGUUGCUCCAAAGUGUGAGUGGCAAAACCUUGAUAUCAAUCUGUGACCUACACUAUCAGCAAUAAUGGCUGCAGAGGCACUCCUCAAAGCAGAACACCAUAAAUUUAUUGUGGAAAAAAACAAACAAAAAAUUAAGCAGACAAACAACCAAAACAAAGAAAAACACCACUGGGAAGAAAGGUCUACUCUGGCACAUGGUUCAUUUUAUAAUACAAAAAGGAGAAAAAAUGGGGCUACAAAGCUUGAUAAUUUAUACAAAUACAACAACUUUCAAAAAUAAAUUUUAAUUUAGUAAACGCUCCGUGAACAAGUUUCUGCAAUAGCCCGCCGCUUGAGAUCCCUGAGCAGAGACACAGAGUGAAACAUUUUUUUUCUCAAACACCUUCAUUAAAACAAGUUGUCAGUGUUUCUUCAUGAACACUUUAUAUAUACAUGUGAUAAUAACACGAUAUGUCUGAUGUGUGUGACAUACAGUGCUGGGAAUUAAUGUGAACUGUGAAUCUUAGUGAAAAUUUCACUGUCGCCAUAAUAGUUAAAAACAGAACGGUGUUAUAGCAUUAUGACUGUAACAAAUGACUUAAA